AUUCUGACACCAAAAUUUCAACUUUGAUAAAUAUGAUAGUUCAAUAAAUACAUUAAAUGGAAAUUUAACAUAGUUAUAUCCACGAAUUUAUUAAAUUCUGUUUCUACACACAAAAAAAAUAUUUUCUUUUGUGAUUGAAAUCGUAUAUACUGGUUAUCAAAUGCGGCCAUUAGAAUCACUACUCUAGCGACGUCAAUCAAAACGAAACAUUGACAAAAGAAUUUUUCACGUUUGUUAACUGAACCGAUUUUAUUUAGAAAAAUGACUAGAAUAAAAAAAUUAUUUAACUUAAGUAUAACAUUAUAACAUACGUUUUUUCCUUUGAAAAAUGUUUUAUCGGUCUUAUAAAAACAAAUGUUGGAAAAAAAUUUUUUUUUACAUAAUUACAAUACUAUACUAAUUUAUAUCAGUUUAAAGCUAAUAAUAAAAAUCAUUAUCCGGAAAAGCUUAAACUUGAGUAAUGUAUCUAUACAGAUUUAUGCAUAUACUAUAUGUGAAAACUAUCGAAAUUUUAAAACCUCCAGAUUCCUGUUUAAAAAAAAAAUGAUGAUAUUACGUACUAUAAAAACUUCACUGGUGAAAAUAUGACCUUGGUUGUAACUUGAGUAACUUAACGGUGACUGCAGUGACCUACAGUACCGUUUUGCACAAACAUUAUCGCAUUCAAUAUCUCUCGUAUUUAGUGUAGAAGUAAUUCGAUUUAACACCAUUUAAAAUAUUUAUCUACUUUAAUGUUCCUAAAGCUCGUUUGACUUUAAUUAAAUUCCUUGUAGAUUAAACAGAAAUAAUACGGUUAAUUAGCAAUCUCUGGUAUCAAGAUUCAUAUUUAAAAACAAAAG
rnacentral:lncRNA from 1 species